rnacentral:rRNA from 1 species
CACGUAGGGUGCGAGCGUUGUCCGGAAUUAUUGGGCGUAAAGAGCUCGUAGGCGGUGUGUCGCGUCGGCCGUGAAAACCUGCAGCUUAACUGUGGGCUUGCGGUCGAUACGGGCAUCACUGGAGUUCGGCAGGGGAGACUGGAAUUCCUGGUGUAGCGGUGAAAUGCGCAGAUGUCAGGAGGAACACCGGUGGCGAAGGCGGGUCUCUGGGCCGAUACUGACGCUGAGGAGCGAAAGCGUGGGGAGCGAACAGG